UUUUUCUUGUACCUUUUGCAUCAUGGUUUAGCCAGUAUUUCCAAGCAAAGCGCCCUUUAGUUUGGUACCCCGAAACUAAGUGAGCUACUUCAGGCCAGCCUAAUAACAGGGCCAACCCGUCUCUGUGGCAAAAGAGUGGGAAGAGCCUCAAGUAGAGGUGAAAGAUCUACCGAACUUAGUAAUAGCUGGUUGUCUGGGAAAUGGAUAGAAGUUCAGCCUAUUGACUUCCCCUCAAAUCUAUAGAGUUAGUCAAAGGGGGAACAGCCCCUUUGACAUAAGACACAACUUUUUUAGGAGGAUAAAGAUCAAAAUUAAAUUUAAAGGUAAAACGUUUUGGUGGGCCUAAUAGCAGCCACCCAUUUAAGGAAAGCGUUAAAGCUCGAACACACAAUUCAGAUAAAUAAAUCUUAAACCCCUAACCCUACCAGGCCAUUCUACAAUAUCGUAGAAGGGACAAUGCUAAUAUGAGUAAUAAGAGGUCUCCUCUCCCUGCAUAAGUGUAAAUCGGAACGGAACAGCCACCGAAACUUAACGGCCCCAAACAUAGAGGGCAUUGAACUAAUCCAAGAAAACAUUUCACCGUUAACCCCACACUGGAAUGCCCUAAGGGAAAGACUAAAAGAAAAAGAAGGAACUCGGCAAACAAGCCUCGCCUGUUUACCAAAAACAUCGCCUCUUGCAAGAAUAAGAGGUCCCGCCUGCCCAGUGACUUUAUGUUAAACGGCCGCGGUAUUCUGACCGUGCCAAGGUAGCGCAAUCACUUGCCCUUUAAAUGGGGGCCCGUAUGAAUGGCAUCACGAGGGCUAAUCUGUCUCCUUUUUCAGGUCAGUGAAAUUGAUCUCUCCGUGCAGAAGCGGGGAUAUUUACAUAAGACGAGAAGACCCUGUGGAGCUUUAGAUUUUAAGACUGACCCUGUCCCCGCCCUAAAAACAUGGGCCAAAUUAUGGAAUACAGUCCGAUUAUCUUUGGUUGGGGCGACCGCGGGGAUUAAUAAAACCCCCACGUAGACCGGGAGCACACCCAAAACCAAGAGUUACCACUCUAAUAAACAGAACCUCUGACUUUAAUGUGAUCCGACAAAGUCGAUCAACGAACCGAGUUACCCCAGGGAUAACAGCGCAAUCCCCUUUAAGAGUUCACAUCGACAAGGGGGUUUACGACCUCGAUGU
rnacentral:rRNA from 1 species